GAUGAACGCUGGCGGCGUGCCUAAUACAUGCAAGUCGAGCGAACAGAUGAGGAGCUUGCUCCUCUGACGUUAGCGGCGGACGGGUGAGUAACACGUGGAUAACCUACCUAUAAGACUGGGAUAACUUCGGGAAACCGGAGCUAAUACCGGAUAAUAUAUUGAACCGCAUGGUUCAAUAGUGAAAGACGGUUUUGCUGUCACUUAUAGAUGGAUCCGCGCCGCAUUAGCUAGUUGGUAAGGUAACGGCUUACCAAGGCGACGACGCGUAGCCGACCUGAGAGGGUGAUCGGCCACACUGGAACUGAGACACGGUCCAGACUCCUACGGGAGGCAGCAGUAGGGAAUCUUCCGCAAUGGGCGAAAGCUUGACGGAGCAACGCCGCGUGAGUGAUGAAGGUCUUCGGAUCGUAAAACUCUGUUAUUAGGGAAGAACAAAUGUGUAAGUAACUAUGCACGUCUUGACGGUACCUAAUCAGAAAGCCACGGCUAACUACGUG
rnacentral:rRNA from 1 species